AAGUCGUAACAAGGUUUCCGUAGGUGAACCUGCGGAAGGAUCAUUAACGAAUAUCUAUGGCGUUGGUUGUAGCUGGCUCCUAGGAGCAUUUGUGCACGCCCGUCAUUCAUAUCAUCUUUCCACCUGUGAACUAUGUGUAGAUCUGGAUAUCCCUCGCUUUGUUAACAAAGCGGAUGCAAGGAUUGCUGCGUCGACGAGACCGGCUCUCUUUGAAUUUCCAGGUCUAUGUCUUUUUACACACCCCAUUUGAAUGAUGUAGAAUGUAGUCAAUGGGCUUUCAAGCCUAUAAAACACUAUACAACUUUCAGCAACGGAUCUCUUGGCUCUC
rnacentral:misc_RNA from 1 species